GAUGAACGCUGGCGGCGUGCUUAACACAUGCAAGUCGAACGUGAGGGGGUAGCAAUAUCCUUGAAAGUGGCGCACGGGUGAGUAAUACGUAGGUAACCUGCCCUGGAGUGGGGGAUAACAGCUAGAAAUGGCUGCUAAUACCGCAUGAGGCCGAGACACUGGGAAGUGUUUUGGCGAAAACUCUGGUGCUUCAGGAGGGGCCUGCGGCCGAUUAGCUAGUUGGCGGGGUAAGAGCCCACCAAGGCAGUGAUCGGUAGCUGGUCUGAGAGGACGAUCAGCCACACGGGAACUGAGACACGGUCCCGACUCCUACGGGGGGCAGCAGUGAGGAAUAUUGGGCAAUGGGCGGAAGCCUGACCCAGCAACGCCGCGUGGAGGAAGACGGCCUUCGGGUUGUAAACUCCUUUUACGGGGAAGAGGAAGGACGGUACCCCGAGAAUAAGUCACGGCUAACUACGUGCCAGCAGCCGCGGUAAU
rnacentral:rRNA from 1 species